rnacentral:rRNA from 1 species
UGGGGAAUUUUGGACAAUGGGCGCAAGCCUGAUCCAGCAAUGCCGCGUGCGGGAAGAAGGCCUUCGGGUUGUAAACCGCUUUUGUCAGGGAAGAAACGAGUUUCUCUAAUACAGAGACUUAAUGACGGUACCUGAAGAAUAAGCACCGGCUAACUACGUGCCAGCAGCCGCGGUAAUACGUAGGGUGCGAGCGUUAAUCGGAAUUACUGGGCGCAAAGCGUGCGCAGGCGGUUAUAUAAGACAGAUGUGAAAUCCCCGGGCUCAACCUGGGACCUGCAUUUGUGACUGUAUAGCUAGAGUACGGUAGAGGGGGAUGGAAUUCCGCGUGUAGCAGUGAAAUGCGUAGAUAUGCGGAGGAACACCGAUGGCGAAGGCAAUCCCCUGGACCUGUACUGACGCUCAUGCACGAAAGCGUGGGGAGCAAACA